AUUGAACGCUGGCGGCAUGCCUUACUUUUGCAAGUCGAACGGCAGCACGGAGCUUGCUCUGGUGGCGAGUGGCGAACGGGUGAGUAAUAUAUCGGAACGUACCCUAGAGUGGGGGAUAACGUAGCGAAAGUUACGCUAAUACCGCAUACGAUCUAAGGAUGAAAGUGGGGGAUCGCAAGACCUCAUGCUCGUGGAGCGGCCGAUAUCUGAUUAGCUAGUUGGUAGGGUAAAAGCCUACCAAGGCAUCGAUCAGUAGCUGGUCUGAGAGGACGACCAGCCACACUGGAACUGAGACACGGUCCAGACUCCUACGGGAGGCAGCAGUGGGGAAUUUUGGACAAUGGGCGAAAGCCUGAUCCAGCAAUGCCGCGUGAGUGAAGAAGGCCUUCGGGUUGUAAAGCUCUUUUGUCAGGGAAGAAACGGUGAAAGCUAAUAUCUUUUGCUAAUGACGGUACCUGAAGAAUAAGCACCGGCUAACUACGUGCCAGCAGCCGCGGUAAUACGUAGGGUGCAAGCGUUAAUCGGAAUUACUGGGCGUAAAGCGUGCGCAGGCGGUUUUGUAAGUCUGAUGUGAAAUCCCCGGGCUCAACCUGGGAAUUGCAUUGGAGACUGCAAGGCUAGAAUCUGGCAGAGGGGGGUAGAAUUCCACGUGUAGCAGUGAAAUGCGUAGAUUUGUGGAGGAACACCGAUGGCGAAGGCAGCCCCCUGGGUCAAGAUUGACGCUCAUGCACGAAAGCGUGGGGAGCAAACAGGAUUAGAUACCCUGGUAGUCCACGCCCUAAACGAUGUCUACUAGUUGUCGGGUCUUAAUUGACUUGGUAACGCAGCUAACGCGUGAAGUAGACCGCCUGGGGAGUACGGUCGCAAGAUUAAAACUCAAAGGAAUUGACGGGGACCCGCACAAGCGGUGGAUGAUGUGGAUUAAUUCGAUGCAACGCGAAAAACCUUACCUACCCUUGACAUGGCUGGAAUCCUUGAGAGAUCAGGGAGUGCUCGAAAGAGAACCAGUACACAGGUGCUGCAUGGCUGUCGUCAGCUCGUGUCGUGAGAUGUUGGGUUAAGUCCCGCAACGAGCGCAACCCUUGUCAUUAGUUGCUACGAAAGGGCACUCUAAUGAGACUGCCGGUGACAAACCGGAGGAAGGUGGGGAUGACGUCAAGUCCUCAUGGCCCUUAUGGGUAGGGCUUCACACGUUAUACAAUGGUACAUACAGAGCGCCGCCAACCCGCGAGGGGGAGCUAAUCGCAGAAAGUGUAUCGUAGUCCGGAUUGUAGUCUGCAACUCGACUGCAUGAAGUUGGAAUCGCUAGUAAUCGCGGAUCAGCAUGUCGCGGUGAAUACGUUAAAGGGUCU
rnacentral:rRNA from 1 species